rnacentral:rRNA from 1 species
UAUGCCUACGGGAGGCAGCAGUGAGGAAUAUUGGUCAAUGGCCGAGAGGCUGAACCAGCCAAGUCGCGUGAGGGAAGACGGCCCUACGGGUUGUAAACCUCUUUUGUCGGGGAGCAAAGAGAGUCACGUGUGACUCAUUGAGAGUACCCGAAGAAAAAGCAUCGGCUAACUCCGUGCCAGCAGCGGCGGUAAUACGGAGGAUGCGAGCGUUAUCCGGAUUUAUUGGGUUAAAAGGGGGCGCAGGCGGAUUUUUAAGUCAGCGUUCAAAUGGUGGGGCUAAACCCCAUCAACCGGUUGA